UGCCCUCUUAACAGGAGAAUGGAAAGAGAACAACAGGUACUGAAUUUCUGUAAGCAUUUGUUUAAUCUAAUCCCCUACCACACAUAGACUCUUCUCUGAUGGCUGGUCUCCUUAGAUAGGAGAGACUCACAAAAGAUUUCAAAGGAACUGAAAAUGAGAUUGAUAAUAAGCUUUAUACUUGUGUUCAGCUCAUUCCAGUUUAGAAAAAAAAAGUCCUGGUGCAUCUGACAGAUACUGCCUUGCUUAAAUUUCAUGAAUCAGAGGCAGGGAUGUUCUGCCAUUUCUCUGCCAUUAUACGAGAUUAGCUAUCUUGCCAAGUCUCACCGUUGCCAAUAUAGACUCAGAAGCAACAAAUACCACAGAGGAUUCAAAGAUGAAAAAAAUCUCCUAUAUUUUAGGUUAAGUGCAGACAUAUUUAUUUAUACAGAAGGUGAAACUCUCUCCUCAAUGUAGCCUAUAUUUAUUUAAUCUCAUGACUUCUAAAAUAAGCAAUGUUAUGAUGAUUGAAACAGAGGCACCUGCAUUCUUCCUGUUUAGGGAAGGAUGGAAUGAAGAAAAGGAAUUCGGUAGUUCUUGUCUAUAAAGUAGCACAAAAUACAAACUGUUAACAAUUUAUAAUAUUAAAUAUUAUCAUUUACCUAGUACUCUCUUACAUGCAAGGUGAUAGUCUAAACAUUUAAUCCACUUUACAACUCUAUGACAAAUUGUAUUAUUGUCCUCAUUUCACAGGUGAACAAAUGGAGGCAUAGAAAUGUUAAGCAGCUUGCCUAAAACCACAGAGCUAAUAGUAGAGCCAAAAUCCCAGAGCUCCUACUCUUAAUCUGGAGCGCCUGGGUGGUUCAGCCGGUUAAGUGUCUGACCUCAGCUGAGGUCAUGAUCUCACGGUUUGUGGGUUCAAGCCCUGCAUCGGACUCCGCGCUGACAGCUGGGAGCCUGCUUCGGAUUGUGUGUCUCCCUCUCUCUCUGCCCCUCCCCCACUGGCACUCCGUCUGUCUCUCUCAAAAACAAAUGAACAUUAAAAAAAUUUUAAAAAUAAAAUUCUUUUUUCCAGCUUUCACUUUAUUUAAUGUGACUCAAAAUUGUUCUUACAAUAAAAUGUUAAUACAAAUGAA